rnacentral:ncRNA from 1 species
AACGCCAAGAAUGUCGUUCUAGGGAAAGCAUGUUUGGAUAGCAUGCCAGGACCCGGGUGGAGGUGGGUUGGAAAAAAAAUAACCAAAUGCCUCUUCAUCUAAUUAGUGACGCGUAUGAAUGGAUUAACAAGAUUCCCAGUGUCCCUAUCUACU